GUGGAUUUACUUCAUUAAUAGAACUCGUUUUGAGUUAAUCAUCCUUCCUCACGGCUUACUAACGUUCUUACGUUAUUAAUUGAAACUCGAACGUUAAGUACACUUAUUGCAUACCGUUCACGUUCACGUUCACGUAUUACUUAAUAACUUUUAGUUGUAACUCUCAACUUUAUAGUCAUUAUCAUUAUUGAAUACAGUUCACUUUCUUUAUACUUUACGUUCGUCGUUUAACUACUCAUUAAACAAC
rnacentral:lncRNA from 1 species